rnacentral:rRNA from 1 species
ACGCUCGACACCUACGGGAUGCAGCAGUAGGGAAUCUUCCACAAUGGACGCAAGUCUGAUGGAGCAACGCCGCGUGAGUGAAGAAGGUUUUCGGAUCGUAAAGCUCUGUUGUUGGUGAAGAAGGAUAGAGGUAGUAACUGGCCUUUAUUUGACGGUAAUCAACCAGAAAGUCACGGCUAACUACGUACCAGCAGCCGCGGUAAUCUGAGCGGGCUGGCAAGGC